rnacentral:rRNA from 1 species
CAAUAGCGUAUAUUAAUGUUGUUGCAGUUAAAAAGCUCGUAGUUGGAUUCCUGGCACGGGGUAGCCGGUCCGCCUUGCAAAAGGUGCGCACUGCGCGGCCUCGGCCAUCCUUGGGAAGAGCGGUCCUGGCAUUAGGUUGUCGGGGUCGGGAUUCCCGACGUUUACUGUGAAAAAUCAGAGUGUUCAACGCAGGCUUACGCCUUGAAUACAUUAGCAUGGAAUAAUGAGAUAGGACCUUGGCGGUCUAUUUUGUUGGUUUGCACGCCGAGGUAAUGAUUAAUAGGGAUAGUUGGGGGCAUUAGUAUUUAAUUGUCAGAGGUGAAAUUCUCAGAUUAACUAAAGACUAACUUAUGCGAAAGCAUUUGCCAAGGAUGUUUUCAUUAAUCAAGAACGAAAGUUAGGGGAUCAAAGACGAUCAGAUACCAU